GGCGAGAUGGCCGAGCGGUCUAAGGCGCUGGUUUUGGGCACCAGUCUCCGGAGGCGUCGGUUCCAAUCCCACUCUCCUCA
rnacentral:tRNA from 1 species